rnacentral:rRNA from 1 species
GCAUUAUACAGCGAAACUGCGAAUGGCUCAUUAAAUCAGUUAUCGUUUAUUUGAUAGUACCUUACUACUUGGAUAACCGUGGUAAUUCUAGAGCUAAUACAUGCUAAAAACCCCGACUCACGAAGGGGUGUAUUUAUUAGAUUAAAAACCAAUGCCCUUCGGGGCUCUUUGGUGAUUCAUAAUAACUUUUCGAAUCGCAUGGCCUUGCGCCGGCGAUGGUUCAUUCAAAUUUCUGCCCUAUCAACUUUCGAUGGCAGGGUCUUGGCCUGCCAUGGUUACAACGGGUAACGGAGGGUUAGGGCUCGACCCCGGAGAAGGAGCCUGAGAAACGGCUACUACAUCCAAGGAAGGCAGCAGGCGCGCAAAUUACCCAAUCCCGAUUCGGGGAGGUAGUGACAAUAAAUACUGAUACAGGGCUCUUUUGGGUCUUGUAAUUGGAAUGAGUACAAUUUAAAUCCCUUAACGAGGAACAAUUGGAGGGCAAGUCUGGUGCCAGCAGCCGCGGUAAUUCCAGCUCCAAUAGCGUAUAUUAAAGUUGUUGCAGUUAAAAAGCUCGUAGUUGAACCUUGGGCCUGGCUGGCCGGUCCGCCUCACCGCGUGCACUGGUUCGGCCGGGCCUUUCCCUCUGGGGAACCUCAUGGUCUUCACUGAUCGUGAUGGGGAACCAGGACUUUUACUGUGAAAAAAUUAGAGUGUUCAAAGCAGGCCUAUGCUCGAAUACAUUAGCAUGGAAUAAUAAAAUAGGACGUGUGGUUCUAUUUUGUUGGUUUCUAGGACCGCCGUAAUGAUUAAUAGGGACAGUCGGGGGCAUCAGUAUUCAAUUGUCAGAGGUGAAAUUCUUGGAUUUAUUGAAGACUAACUACUGCGAAAGCAUUUGCCAAGGAUGUUUUCAUUAAUCAGGAACGAAAGUUAGGGGAUCGAAGACGAUCAGAUACCGUCGUAGUCUUAACCAUAAACUAUGCCGACUAGGGAUCGGACGGUGUUACUUAUUGACCCGUUCGGCACCUUACGAGAAAUCAAA